GCUUACGUCCAUAUCACGCUGAGAGCACCGGUUCUCGUCCGAUCACCGAAGUUAAGCAACGUCGAGCCUAGUGAGUACUUAGAUGGGUGGCCACUUGAGAAACUAGGUGCUGUAAGCG
rnacentral:rRNA from 1 species